CGACGCGCUCGGGCACGCGCGGCUAGAAGGGAGCCCUGACCACCUGUUGGGGGGCUUCCACCGCGUCCCGGACCUUGAUUCUGGGAGAGGAGCCGGGGCCGCCCGCCCCCGACCUCCACGCUCCAUCACCAGGAGCCGGAGGAGCGGGGAGCUUGGUUGGUUUGGCGCAAAGGACUGGUGCCCUACCUGUGCUAAGACGGUGAGGCUGCCUCGGGGCGCCCCGAGAUUCACGCGGCCGUGGUACCACGCCACUCCCGUGCCUGCCAGGGCCACGCUGGCCACUGCCGCCGCCAAGGGGCUGGGGCCCGGCAAAGCCCGCCGGCCGGCAGAAACCCCACGCCGCAGUCUCCCGCCCCAGGCCAUCAGCCGAGCGCUUCUCACCGCAGCCGCCGCCAUCUUUGCGGAAGCGCCCCAUCCCCGAGUCCGGUGCCGCCGCCGCCUCUUCGCCGGACUCGAGGACGCCGCGCGGCCUUGGAUAUCGCGAGAUCCCGACGGCCUCCGUCCGGCCCCUGGAGCCAGCCAUCUAUCUGCUCGUGGCUUGCCCUACGAAGCUCCGAGCGGCGAUGCACAGAAACUGCAUUACUUGUCAAUGUACCAAAAAUUGCUGAGCAGCUGUUGCCAUCCGGCACAAUCUCUGAGGUCACAGGACUCUUACUCUUGUCAGGACACUUCAGGUGUUGUUAUAUGAAGCCAUCUUAUGUCGUACACAGGAAGUUGCAUUUUCCAGCAUCCCUUGUGGCAAGGUGUGGUCACGUCAUCAUGUCUGGGCCAGGGUGUACCCUGCAAGUAGCCGUGAGUCCUUCCUGGAGGGCCUUGUUCCAAGCUAACUGCCAGCUAAUCACUGUUGCAGUGCCUUGGAGACGUUGCCGUUAAUAAGUUCAGACAUGAGUCACCAGACGCCUCAGCGGAUCACAGGCCAGAAUAAGGAAGGGGCCGGCAGUAUCCGAGGGGGCCUUGAGUGAGGCCGACACAUGUGUACAAACACACCAGCUCCUCUCGGUGGCCAAAAAGGGUCCAAGUGUUGUCUCAGCCAUCGCAUGCAGACACAGAAACUGCUCGUAAAAUAUAAUUUCACUAGAAGAUGAUCCCUUAUCAGAAUGGGAGUUUGCCCAAGAUGUUGGUGAUCUCCUGCAGAGAUUUCUGAAUCAGAGGUAGAUUUGAGGCGUGCGGCAAGAAUUACCAUCCCGGUGUCACAGAGGAGGAAACUGGCCUGGGAGUCACCAGGAGCUUGUCCAGUCCGCCAGAUGGUGGAGCUGAAACAUGCUCUCUCUUUGCCACGCUGUCUUGUUUUGCUGGUCUUACACCAUCUUCUCUUCCUGGAUCAUGGGAUUGGUGGGUCCGAGAGAGCGCUCCUUUUCAUAUUGUUCUGUGCGAGAGAGUGUAUGAAGACUUGCUAUCUGGUUCCAUACUGUAUCGUACAGUGUUCCUGUUUUUCUGAAAUUUGACAAAGUGAAGAAUGCCUUUUUUUUCUUUGAGGGGCAUGACUAUUCAUGUUUUCCUUCAAUUUCUGUUUUCCAAUUUAGUUCACAUCCCAAUAAUUGUUACUGAGGUGGGGCGCCUGGGUGGCUCAGUCGGUUAAGCGACGGACUUUGGUCAGGUCAUGAUCUCAUGGUUUG